rnacentral:rRNA from 1 species
UAAGCGCGAAGCCUUCCUCAAGAUGAGGUUUCCCAUCCCCUAGAGGGAGUAAGACCCCUGGCAGACUACCAGGUAGAUAGGCCGGGAGUGUAAGAACAGUAAUGUUUUUAGCGGACCGGUACUAAUCGGUCGAGGGCUUGACCUAAA